UGUCUUCAGAUGAUCCUGCAUGCUGUCGCCACACCGACCACCAGAAAAACUCCUUCUGGGCUGUUGAGCAUUUCUGAUCCGUCUCUAGUGAACCCAGUUCUGGAGUCCGACGGAUCUCUGAGCCGAGCCAAGAUUUUACUCCAAAAGAGGAAGAGGAGACGAUCUUCACUGCUGGGAUCUUCGUCUGAAAUCAUCGGCUGCAGUUUCUGAUUUUCUCGGAACGUUUUCAGCCGUCAGUGAUGAAAAUCAACAUCCUGGGGACCAAAGUCCAUGUGGUCCUGGUGUUUCUGGGGACGCUGUGUGUCCUGCUGCUGUUUGGAUGCAUUGGGGUAAUCUCUUGGGG